rnacentral:lncRNA from 1 species
UCGUUUCAGCGAUAAACAGCAUCGCUGUAAUUGCCAUUCGAUCGCACUCUCUCAAAACUAAAUGUUUAAAUGAUAGUUGACUAUAUGUUCUUACUGGAGCAUACUGGAACAAUUUGUUUAAAAACUGUUAAAUUUUUGUAAUAAACAAUAUUACGUACUGGGAAAAUCCAUUAAUUCACAAAAGUGAAGUUUUGAGAAAAACGCAUUUAAACAUUAAUAUACCUUAUGGCUUACCUCUUAAAAAUCGGGUACACUGGCUAUUCAAGUUUUGGUACCUGUAUAUGAUUUUGAGGGAUGUUAACCACAGGUGGUGUGCACAUACAUGUACAUAAAAAUAUUUGGAAAAACAUUAUUCAUGAAAACUUAGAAAAAGAUGGAGUUAGUUGAUUUUCUUUGUCAUUGAAUGUAUCGAUUUAAGCACGGUGGAUGACGAAUGUGGAGAUAUACGGUUUUUCCUGUUAAUAUAUUGAUGUUUGUGGAUUUAAUGGUAUUAAAAUGUCAAAAUUG